rnacentral:tmRNA from 1 species
GCUAAGUCAGGGGUUAAAUCCAAAUAGGGCGGAUAAGUAUGUAGAUCUGUCUGUAGAGGACUUGCGGACGGGGGUUCGAUUCCCCCCGGCUCCACCA